rnacentral:rRNA from 1 species
ACCGGCAGCUCAAGUGGUGGCCAUUUUUAUUGGGCCCAAAGCGUUCGUAGCCGGUUUGAUAAGUCUCUGGUGAAAUCCCGCAGCUUAACUGUGGGACUUGCUGGAGAUACUAUUAGACUUGAGGUCGGGAGAGGUUAGGGGUACUCCCAGGAGGGUGGAGAAAGGCAAUGAUCCUGGGAGGACCAAAUGUGGCGAAGGCGCCAGACUGGGACGAGCCGGCCCGUGAGUAACGAAAGUCAGGGGCGUGAACCG